UGGGGAAUAUUGCACAAUGGGGGAAACCCUGAUGCAGCCAUACCGCGUGUAUGAAGAAGGCCUUAGGGUUGUAAAGUACUUUCAGCGAGGAGGAAAGGUAGUAGGUUAAUACUCUGCUACUGUGACGUUACUCGCAGAAGAAGCACCGGCUAACUCCGUGCCAGCAGCCGCGGUAAUACGGAGGGUGCAAGCGUUAAUCGGAAUUACUGGGCGUAAAGCGCAUGCAGGCGGUUUGUUAAGCGAGAUGUGAAAGCCCCGGGCUCAACCUGGGAACUGCAUUUCGAACUGGCAAACUAGAGUUCUUGAGAGGGUGGUAGAAUUUCAGGUGUAGCGGUGAAAUGCGUAGAGAUCUGAAGGAAUACCAGUGGCGAAGGCGGCCACCUGGCAAGUAACUGACGCUCAGAUGCGAAAGCGUGGGUAGCAAACGGG
rnacentral:rRNA from 1 species